rnacentral:lncRNA from 1 species
CAUGUUUAUUAGGAUCAGGUUUUUAACGGUGAUGUUUAUAUAGGUUUUCUCCUUUAAGACACCACCCUGUGCUGACGAUGGACACCAGUUAAUAGAAUCUAAAUUAAGCCAUCCAUUUAAAAAUUGAAUAUUGCUGUGUACUAUUGACUAGGUAUUUAAGAUUCUGUACCUGUGUUAGGCAGGCAUUGAUCAUCAUGUAGUGACACAAUGGCAGAAUAAGCUGUAAUGCUGCUGUCUUUUUUUAGAGUGUGUCGUAAGAAUUAACUGUUGACUAAAGAAGUUAAAGAUGUUUUAUUUCUAACUUGAUAAUCCUGGCUCUUUUGAAGGUAAUUCUUUUAGUUUUCUUCUUUCCAUUUAUAUUUUCCAUCCGGGCAAGGUUCUGUUUUUAACAUAAAUCUUGGAAACAUUUCGUUUUCUGAACAUUUAUAUAUUCUGCAAUGUUUGAAUGAACAGUUCCCAUGCAGGUGAACAUAAUAACUGUUUGUUUUAAACAUACUAAAUUCCUCUUUGGUGUGUGUGUGGGGGGAGAUAGCAGGUCUAGUCUUCUUGUUCUUUUGACAUGGACUCUGUAAGUUGUGUUGCCCAGACUGGUCUAGAACCUGUGAACUCUAGUGACCCUCACUUAGUCCCAGGUGAGCUGGGACUCCUUGUCAUUUUACCCAGCAUUUUGUUUUUCUUGAUUUUUUUUUUUUUUGCCUCUUUACUUCCAUUCUCACUAUUCAUAUGUAGUUUACUUUCUAAUUUAUUCCACUAUUUGACUUUGUUACUUUAAUUUUUUUUUCUUUUGCUUUGUUAGUUGAAUACUAAUUUUCUUCAAAUUUUGAAAGGGGGCAUUUUCAAGUUAGGAAACUGAUUAUUUCUUUGACUUGGUCUUACAGUUUAAAAUUAUUAUAUUUUCAAAAACACUGACAAGAUGUCCUGUAUUCUUAUUUUUCACUUGUCUUAUAUAUCAUUCAUAUAUAUUAUUCAGCACAUAAAUGUUCACGGUAUUUAUUUACAUUUUAACAUGAAUUCUAGAUUCUGUUAGUAUGCUACAAUGACUGGUCUUCUGCUUAGCUUGUACUGUUUGCCAAAUUGUUUUGAGACUAGGUCUAUAUGGGCGAGAACGGUCCAGACUCAGUGGUCUUUCUGUUUCUGCCUCUCAUGUGCUGGGAUUAUUUGUGUGUGCCAUCAUGCCU